rnacentral:rRNA from 1 species
GAUGAACGCUAGCUACAGGCUUAACACAUGCAAGUCGAGGGGUAACGAGAGGAAAGCUUGCUUUCCUUGUCGACGACCGGCGCACGGGUGAGUAACGCGUAUCCAACCUGCCCCCAACUAGGGAAUAACCUUGCGAAAGUAAGACUAAUACCCUAUAAUUUCCUCAGAUGUCAUCUGACGAGGAAUAAAGAUUUAUCGGUUGUGGAUGGGAUGCGGCUGAUUAGCUUGUUGGCGGGGUAACGGCCCACCAAGGCAACGAUCAGUAGGGGUUCUGAGAGGAAGGUCCCCCACAUUGGAACUGAGACACGGUCCAAACUCCUACGGGAGGCAGCAGUGAGGAAUAUUGGUCAAUGGGCGGAAGCCUGAACCAGCCAAGUAGCGUGCAGGAUGACGGCCCUAUGGGUUGUAAACUGCUUUUAUACAGGAAUAAAGUUAGCCACGUGUGGUUAUUUGUAGGUACUGUAUGAAUAAGGACCGGCUAAUUCCGUGCCAGCCGCCGCGGUAA